rnacentral:lncRNA from 10 species
GAGAAAUCACUUCCGUACCAGAGCAGUUUAAAUGGAUGUGCCUGGCAACCUACUGUAAACCAAAAAUAAAACUCUAAGCCCCCUCAACCAUCUGAAUGGACCCCUCUUCUUGGCCAAGGGCAUUCCAAAGUUGACCUGAGAAACUAUUCCGGCCAUAAUGGGAAAUGGGUGUUGAACAUGCCUCAUCCUACCCUCCUCCCUUUUGGAAUUACUGAUAGAAUGGACUCUUUAAGUCUGAUAAGAAACAUUUACAAUCUAUUCUCUCUGAAGCCUGCUACCUGGAGGCUUCACCUACAUGAUAAAGCCUUGGUCUCCACAACCCCUUAUCUUAACCCAGAUAUUUCUUUCUAUUGAUUCUAAGUCUUUAGACAAUAACUAAACUCUUUCAGAGAAAUAAAAGACAAAAGAAAUAAUUCAACAAUAUUACAAAGAAAUGAAGGGCAUGAAUUCCCAAUUUCAAGGGACCCAUUGAGAACCCAGCAUAACAGGCAAAAUAAAGAUACACACCAAAGCACAUUAUUAUUAAAUUUCAGAACAUUGGAGACAGAAAGGACCUAACAGAGAGGAAAAUAAAAUCACUGGAAAGGAUAAAGAAUCGGAAUGGUAUCUGACUUCUCAACAGCGACUCUGGUAGUAGAAGUCAAUAAAGAAAUGUUUUUUAAAACAAAAAUGUUUUUAAGUUCACAUUUUAUUUAGGUUGAAAUAAGCUGUACAAAAUUGGUAUUUCUGACCAAAAAUAACAGCCAUAUUUUCUAUCAUAUUUAUAGAUAAACCACAAAACACUUAUUGUAGUCAGUUUUUCAGGUUUUGAUUUUAAUCUAGAUAAGGAAGUAGACAUAGUUAUGAAAAAAGAAGAGAACAGACACAUCAGCUGUCUGUAUCCAGGGCUUCUGAUUCUGUCUUGACCAUGAAACUAAAGUGUUCCACAUACACCUGAUGAAAAGCUUACGACACAGGAAGACAUCAGCUCAACAAAGGAAUGCAAAUAGCAACAAGCAGAAGGAGAACAAUGAUGCCAGACUCUUCCAUUCAAACUUGUUCUUCUAGGAUCACUUGAUAAAGAUCAGACCUACAAUGCCACCCUUGUUGGGUGAGCUCACUGCUUCUCUCACUCUCUGGUAAUUCCCAUAACUGUGCAUUAAAGGGUUUUUUUUGUUUUUGUUUUUGUUUUUGUUUUCUUUUGUUUUUGAGACUCUGUCGCCAGGCUGGAGUGCAGUGGUGUGAUCUCGGCU